AUAAGAUCUGAUAUCCUCGUAAAAAUUUAAGCCACCAUGAUUGUCAGUCAUGUUUAUGGACGAAAAGAUAGUCAUGAUCUGGAUCAAAAAAUGCUCAAAUAUUCCGAAGAAUGCUAAAUUUGUUAUGGAUGAAAACAUGGUUAAUUUUUAGGGGAACAUGAAGGUUGACGAAGGCUGGCUUAUUCAAGCACUAAAAUUAAAAAAGGCCUAUAAUUUAUGAGUGAAUUUUUGGUUGAUGAAGUGUGGAGCCAAUUACGAGGGUUAUCAAUGCAUGUAGCCAUAAUGGAAGAAGGUUACAAACACCACAACUGAUAGAUGUCUUUGGCUGGGAUGAAAUUGGGAUGGUCGGAUCACUUGUUUGUCUCUCAAAAUGUCAUCCGUCCGUCCAAAGCUCAAAAACUUAUGUUGUUUUGUAUUAUAGAUAUAUGUACCAUCCACGAGGGAAACAACCCUUUUUAAGCUUUUGCCAUGUGCCCUAUGCAUUGUUUCUAUCACACCAGUGUUUCAGUUGCAAAACUAUGU